rnacentral:tRNA from 1 species
ACUGGGUUGGCCGAGUGGUUAAGGCGUUGGACUUAAGUUCCAAUGGACAAGUGUCCGCUGUGGGUUCGAACCCCACACCCAGUA